rnacentral:rRNA from 1 species
GACGGAGGGUGCUAGCGUUGUUCGGAAUUACUGGGCGUAAAGGGCGCGUAGGCGGCUUCGGUAGUCGGGUGUGAAAGCCCGGGGCUCAACCCCGGAACGGCACCCGAUACUCCGAGGCUCGAGACCGGGAGAGGAGGGUGGAAUACCCAGUGUAGAGGUGAAAUUCGUAGAUAUUGGGUGGAACACCGGUGGCGAAAGCGGCUCUCUGGCCCGGUUCUGACGCUGAGGCGCGAAAGCGUGGGGAGCAAACAGG